GAUGAACGCUGGCGGCGUGCCUAAUACAUGCAAGUCGAGCGAACGGACGAGAAGCUUGCUUCUCUGAUGUUAGCGGCGGACGGGUGAGUAACACGUGGAUAACCUACCUAUAAGACUGGGAUAACUUCGGGAAACCGGAGCUAAUACCGGAUGAUAUUUUGAACCGCAUGGUUGAAAAGUGAAAGACGGUCUUGCUGUCACUUAUAGAUGGAUCCGCGCUGCAUUAGCUAGUUGGUAAGGUAACGGCUUACCAAGGCAACGAUGCAUAGCCGACCUGAGAGGGUGAUCGGCCACACUGGAACUGAGACACGGUCCAGACUCCUACGGGAGGCAGCAGUAGGGAAUCUUCCGCAAUGGGCGAAAGCCUGACGGAGCAACGCCGCGUGAGUGAUGAAGGUCUUCGGAUCGUAAAACUCUGUUAUUAGGGAAGAACAUAUGUGUAAGUAACUGUGCACAUCUUGACGGUACCUAAUCAGAAAGCCACGGCUAACUACGUG
rnacentral:rRNA from 1 species